GGUGUUUUUGUAGUCGUUUUCUGCUUUGCGGUUUUAUAUGGAAGAACUGCUAGCAGAAAACGUGUACCACAACACAGA
rnacentral:pre_miRNA from 1 species